UUCUGAACAACACUUACCAUUUGCGGCAGACAAUUCGCUUGAUGAAGAAAUUUCGCGAUGCUCAAAAAAUGGAUAAAAUAGCAAGUUACUACAUUAAAACACUUUUCUUGUGGGAGUAUCUAGAAUUACAAGCAAGUGGUCGAAGCGAUAUGUGGGAAAAGAGUGAUAUUACGACGUUAUUCAAGCACAUGUUAAAAAAAUUCAAUGCUGCUCUCGAUAAGAAGGAAAUUCUCUACUUUUGGAAUAGACGCCAUAAUAUGAUUGAGAAUGUUCAUCAGAGUAUAAUUAAUGAGUAUAAAUGCAAAGUUACAAGACUUUUAUCCAUAAUGGAUGAUUCAUGGAGAUAUAAAGAAGUGGCGAAAUAUCUUUUGACCGAUGACGAAUACGAGGAGUAUAAAAGAUUCCUCUUUUAAUCAAUAAAAUCUAAAUCAUUUUA